UACGUAGGGGGCAAGCGUUGUCCGGAUUUAUUGGGCGUAAAGAGCGUGUAGGCGGCCAGGUAGGUCAGCUGUGAAAACUCGAGGCUCAACCUCGAGACGUCGGUUGAAACCAUCUGGCUAGAGUCCGGAAGAGGAGAGUGGAAUUCCUGGUGUAGCGGUGAAAUGCGCAGAUAUCAGGAAGAACACCGGUGGCGAAGGCGGCGAGCUGGUCCAUUACUGACGCUGAGGCGCGACAGCGUGGGGAGCAAACAGG
rnacentral:rRNA from 1 species